rnacentral:lncRNA from 1 species
AGAUCUACCAUUAAAGGUGUAAGGUACUAGACUUCUAUAAAUAUGAAGUUAUGGUGUACAUUUAAAUGGUUCCGGUGAGGUUGCGGUGUAAUGUAAUAUACCGGAUUUAAAUAUAAAAAUAAAAAUAAAUAAAAAUAGUAUGAGGUACUAUUUUUAUUGGAUUUAGAGAAGUGAAAUAUACGUUGGGAAUGACUUGUGCUGAAAU